rnacentral:rRNA from 1 species
GAAGCGAGACGGUGACGUUAAGCAAAUCCCAGAAAUAACGUCCCAGUUCGGAUUGUAGUCUGCAACCCGACUACAUGAAGCUGGAAUCGCUAGUAAUCGCGAAUCAGAAUGUCGCGGUGAAUACGUUCCCGGGUCUUGUACACACCGCCCGUCACACCAUGGGAGCCGGAAAUGCCCGAAGUCAGUGACCCAACCGUAAGGAGGGAGCUGCCGAAGGUGGAGCCGGUAACUGGGGGUGAAGUCGUAACAAGGUACC